AAUCGUUGCACAUGGUGCAUGGUAAUCCUUCUAUUUUCAACUCGAUCCAUGUGAUCGACCAGCAUUGCAUGCACCAUUUUCUUAACCUUUGACUGACUAGCUAGCUAGAUCUGUCGUGCUAUCAACUGAGAUAUUCAUCUCAUGCAGCCACCGAUUCAUGGGAUCGAAGACGAUGAUUCUUUGCAAGAUUAGUGCAGUUGAUCUUUAAGAUGUACGUGAAUUCAAAGGAUUGUGCAAAAAGGACUCCGACAACUGAUGCUGUAGGGGAACGCUUGGUCUUUUGUACGUGCCUAUGCUUAGUUGCAUGCAAUUUUCUUCCUUUAAUUUGUCCCUGAGAUCUCCAGAGGCAAUAUUCACUGGGCUCGUACGAACUGAGAGGAGUUUAUUCGGUGGAUGACCUCUCAUAGAGGCAAAGCUUUUCUCUCCAUUAUGGUAGCUGCUACAACAUAUGCUCUCUGAUUGUGGGAGAAACACAAUAUUAUUCCAAAGGAGAAGCAAAGAUUCCGGGUACAUUCUUUCAAAGAUUUUGUUUUGAGAUGCAAAGAAGAAUAAUUUUCAAGCCGGCUAGGUGUUACUAGUUCGUUUGGUGGGAUUGGGUCAGGCCAGCUUCGAAGCACUUGUAGUCUCCUCCGUUUAGGUCUAUUCUGUCAUUAGUUUUUAAUGUAUAUGUGUGACGUCUCAUAUCGCCCGAGUAUGAGAAUGAAAAUGUGCUUAUAUGUAUAAACGCACAAUUUUUGACACAACGCAUUUUAAAUCUGUGAUAGCCAUGAACCUAUUAGAACUCUGCAGUUAAGCGAACUUCUGAGAGAGUAGUAUCGAGA